CCAAGGCAGCCAACAAAGCCACAGCCACCUUGGCUGUGCUUGGGCUCUGCCUUUUGGGCAGCUCACCGGCCACUCCCCAAAAGCAGAGCAUUCUGUCCCUUCUCUUUUUAAAUCCACGUCAUCGUUUGAUCAUAAUGGAAAUCAAUCUCCUCAAGUCACCACGCAAAGGCGUAUCCAUAGCAACCACAAGAGGAAGGACACGGAUGUGAUGCUCCAGUAGCUGCAGCAGCAAAAGAAACCUGUGGCUCCGAAUGGGUUCAGACGCUCCCAGGAAAGGAAGGAGACCCUCGCCGCUGUGGAGGAAUUCGGAGGCGCAACCACUCCGACCCCGGGAGAACACCGCCAGGCUGAAGAGCGCAGUCCCAGACUUCUACUGGCCUCUCCUUAGUUCAAGAUGACAUAUAUACUUCAGUUUGCCUGACUGCUUUGGAAUCUCAUGUCUGUGCGGACUUCCUGUUUGUGCCAGCCUGAGUGUCCCUCUGAUGGGGAAUUCCAAUUUGCAUGACUGGAGUCCAUCCUCCCAAACUGUGAUGCUGAACAGAGAAUAUCUGUGCUCAUCGGGUGGAAUCCUGUGCAUUCCAGAACAUGGGAGGGGACCAAGAGGGGAAAACCUCCCCUUGAGGAAAAGAAUACUGUUUCCUAGAAGGAGGAGGUGGUUUUCAGGCUGAGAGACUUGGAGAGGCGAUUGGAUAAAGGCACAGAGCAAGCCACAUGCAGAAGAAUGAAAAUGGACCAUUUUCUUACGCCAUACAC